rnacentral:piRNA from 1 species
UCGCCCUUAUUCUCUCAGCACACAGCAG